rnacentral:rRNA from 1 species
GAUAAACGCUGGCGGCGCACAUAAGACAUGCAAGUCGAACGGACUUAACCAUUAGUUUACUAUUGGAGCGGUUAGUGGCGGACUGGUGAGUAACACGUAAGCAACCUACCUAUUAGAGGGGAACAACAGUUAGAAAUGACUGCUAAUACCGCAUAUGCCGUGAGUACCACAUGGUACAAAUGGGAAAGAAGCAAUUCACUAAUAGAUGGGCUUGCGUCUGAUUAGAUAGUUGGUGAGGUAACGGCCCACCAAGUCAACGAUCAGUAGCCGAACUGAGAGGUUGAACGGCCACAUUGGGACUGAGAUACGGCCCAG